UUCGAUUUGUAAAAUUUAUUUAUAUGUUCGCACCAAUUUAAUUAUAUAAGUAGUAGAUAAUGACUUUUUAAUUAUUCAAUAUAUAUAUAUAUAUUAUUUUAUAAUAUGUUAUAAACAUAUAAUAUAUAAAAUAAUUUAUAUAUAUAAUGUUCAUCCCGCGCAAGGCACGGAUCUUAACCUAGUAUCUAAUAUAAUGUAAAAACAUUAAAUGAUAAUGCUUCUUUUUUAAUAUAUAACGGAUAUUUCAAGGAUCUUUUACGUCGUAAUGGAAAAAAUAGAAAAAAACGACCAAUUUGUUUUUGUAUAUUAGUUAGGAUCGCAAUCAUUUUCGAGUUAGACAUAUAAUUCUGAUAUACAAAUAGUACAAAUUUCAAUAGAAAUGAAUAUUCAUUAACACAUAUACAUAUAUAUAUAUAUAUAUUAUCAUAUUUUAUAUUGAAUGCUUCUACUUUUAAGUUUUAGUUAGAACAAAUCAAUUAUAGAAAACAAGGUCAUUCUCACGACGUCUUGAGGUACUCUCAAGAAAAUUUUGUUUUUUCUUAGAAUGUGAAUAGAAUUAGCCACACAAGUAGUAAUCUUCCACCUGUGGAAGCAACGAAACAACCUCAUCCACUAUCAUAUCUCUCUAUCUGUCGCUUCGAUAUUCCACUGCAUUGACAAGGAGCUGAGAAACAUCAUAUCUGCUAGGAAAGGGAGGAAACAAUUCAGAUCAUUCAUGUCCAUGUGGCUGAGAUGAUUUGAUUCUUAUAAAAGUUACUUAGCAUCUAAUAUGUUUUAGUCGGUGAUCCAUCUUAUUUUUAUUUUUUUUUGUCAAGAUGUAUCAGACUUAAGAUGUUUGCUUGCGGUACAAGCUUUUGUCUUUCACCUAUGGAAACAGAGGAAUAACCUGAUCCAUAAUCAAUCAUCUCGAACGGCCGCAUCUGUCUUUCAUGAUAUUGACAAAGAGAUGAGAAAUUUAAUCUCUGCAAGGAGAAAGAGGAAACACUUCCAAUCGCUUAUGAUUAUGUGGUUGAGAUAGGUUGUUUCUUGUUGGCUUAUUUUUGAUCCAUCUUGUUUUUAUUCUUUUUUGCCAAGAUGGAUUCAAACUCUAGAUCUUACUUUGUAAAAUCUUCUUUCAUUAUAUGAUAUUUACAAUUUAGCAAAAAAAGAUGUUUGCUUACAAGCUAUUUUUUCAUUUCUACGAUAUUUACAAUUUAGCAAAAAAAAAAAAAAGGGUUAGCGCAAUAUCAUUUUAUUUAAAAGGAGUGUAACUAAUAUUUUUAUACAUACAUGACGGCCACUGAUCUUUCAUUGAACUUAGUCUCAUCAUCAUUUACAUGUUCUUUUCAUUAAUACCAACCCACCAGUCACAAUCUUUGACUUUAAUGUACCACCCACCCAUUCAAUGUUAUCAUUAGAAUUUGUGCGAAACAAAAGAGAAAUUUUCAGAACGAAUCUUCACGUUCGUGAAAUCCUUCUCAGUGUAUGGAUGGGCUUGUCAAAAACUUUUGUGGUUCUUGAAUCUUCACCACAUCACACAAUUUAGAAACUAAUGGUUUUAAAUCCAUUUUCUAUAUAUUUGUUUCGGAAAACUGAUAAAAUAUUAAUUUGAUUAUCAUCAUGCAAAAUUAAAAUCUAUAAAAACUGAUAAUAUUAUGAUCUUUAAUAAAUUUUCAUCAAUAAACUAAACAAUAAAAACUAAGAUAUCAUUCCAAUUCCCUAUGCUAUAUUCAACUAGCCAUGAUUUUGGAUUUUGAUGGUCCCAUCUCCAAUAAUAUCUAAUUUUGAGAUAAAAGUUUGAAAGAGAUUUUUUUUUUCUGAGAAAUUCUACUCACAAUCUCAUUUAAUUUUUUUUCUUAUUAUCAAUUGAUAUUUCAAUUUUUUAUAUAAUCUUAUUUUAUUUUAUAUUAGGGCAAUUCUCCUAAAUAGAACAAUUUCAAGUUUUGGUCACAAAAAAUAGACCACAAAGAAGAAAAUAAUCAAAAUGUUUCAUUUAAUAGGUCAAAUGACCAUAAUACCCUAAAUAUAUAAAAAAAUAAAAAAAAAUGAAAAAAUAUGUUCUUCUGACCACCACGCUGUGUCGCAACUGAGGAGGUCUUGUGGUGUUUCGAUCCUUUUUCGUCAUUUUCUCUAUUCUUGCUUUUUUUUCUUUCUCAAUCCAUCCAAGUGAUGAGGAUCUGGUUUGUGUGGAGCUGUUAAACGCAUUUUCUACAUCUUCUCUCAUCUCGCAGAUCUAUGCUUAGGUGAGAGCUGAUAGCGAUCUCUAUCUCCUUUUCUCAUUCUCUUGUCAUGGUAGAAGUGUCUAGGUGAAUCAUUAAUACAUACCUAUAACAAUAAGCAUACAUAUAGUUGUUUUGCCUAGAUGUACAUAUACUUAAAAUAUUAUAUUUAGAUUGAUAUAAUAUAGAUGUUAUAUAUAAUGUUAGGUUGUUAAAACAAAAAUGAUUGAAUAACUUUUGAGUACUAUAUGUGAUUAUUGCAUUGUCUGUGGAUAUGACAUGUGUAUGGUGUAUAUGAGUUAAAGAAGGGGUUAAGGCCUAUGUAGUUGCCGGUGAAAUAUAACGGAAAGCAGUACUACUGAGCGCGUUGCAUUGUUUCUUGUUGGGUCACGGGUGGACCAUGUAAGGUGGAAUGGUUUAUCGUCGGAGCAGACAUGUCGUGUGCAUGUGGGUGGAGUUGAGAAUGUGGUGGCAUGGAUAGCAUGAAUGCCUUGAACUUACAGGAACUGACUGAGGUGGUGAGCUCUCAUGCAACAACAUGAGAGGUGUGGGGACCACAUGAGGUGGUGUGGUCUCAUGUGUAACUGUCAAGGUUUAUCCUCAUUUCUUAUUGAUUUAUCUUGUUUUGUUGGAUGUUCUAGCCAGACUUGCUAUGUUGUGUGAUGACUGUUGGUGGUUGAUUUAAGGGAUUCCAGAGAUUCUCUCUCUAAGUAUUUGUCGUAAUAUUCACAUAUUUUUUCUUUGCAAGUGAGUUCGAAGAA